AGCGGCGGACGGGUGAGUAACACGUGGAUAACCUACCUAUAAGACUGGGAUAACUUCGGGAAACCGGAGCUAAUACCGGAUAAUAUUUUGAACCGCAUGGUUCAAAAGUGAAAGACGGUCUUGCUGUCACUUAUAGAUGGAUCCGCGCUGCAUUAGCUAGUUGGUAAGGUAACGGCUUACCAAGGCAACGAUGCAUAGCCGACCUGAGAGGGUGAUCGGCCACACUGGAACUGAGACACGGUCCAGACUCCUACGGGAGGCAGCAGUAGGGAAUCUUCCGCAAUGGGCGAAAGCCUGACGGAGCAACGCCGCGUGAGUGAUGAAGGUCUUCGGAUCGUAAAACUCUGUUAUUAGGGAAGAACAUAUGUGUAAGUAACUGUGCACAUCUUGACGGUACCUAAUCAGAAAGCCACGGCUAACUACGUGCCAGCAGCCGCGGUAAUACGUAGGUGGCAAGCGUUAUCCGGAAUUAUUGGGCGUAAAGCGCGCGUAGGCGGUUUUUUAAGUCUGAUGUGAAAGCCCACGGCUCAACCGUGGAGGGUCAUUGGAAACUGGAAAACUUGAGUGCAGAAGAGGAAAGUGGAAUUCCAUGUGUAGCGGUGAAAUGCGCAGAGAUAUGGAGGAACACCAGUGGCGAAGGCGACUUUCUGGUCUGUAACUGACGCUGAUGUGCGAAAGCGUGGGGAUCAAACAGGAUUAG
rnacentral:rRNA from 1 species